UACAGAGGUCCCAAGCGUUGUUCGGAUUCAUUGGGCGUAAAGGGUGCGUAGGUGGCGCCGUAAGUCAGGUGUGAAAUCUCGGGGCUUAACUCCGAAACUGCAUUUGAUACCGCGGUGCUUGAGGACUGGAGAGGAGACUGGAAUUUACGGUGUAGCGGUGAAAUGCGUAGAUAUCGUAAGGAAGACCAGUGGCGAAGGCGGGUCUCUGGACAGUUCCUGACACUGAGGCACGAAAGCUAGGGGAGCAAACAGG
rnacentral:rRNA from 1 species